rnacentral:tRNA from 1 species
AGUAAGAUCAGCUAAUUAAGCUCUUGGGUCCAUACCCCAUCAAUGUUGGUUAAAGUCCUUCUCUUACUA